rnacentral:rRNA from 1 species
GAUGAACGCUGGCGGCGUGCCUAAUACAUGCAAGUCGAGCGAACAGACGAGGAGCUUGCUCCUCUGACGUUAGCGGCGGACGGGUGAGUAACACGUGGAUAACCUACCUAUAAGACUGGGAUAACUUCGGGAAACCGGAGCUAAUACCGGAUAAUAUAUUGAACCGCAUGGUUCAAUAGUGAAAGACGGUUUUGCUGUCACUUAUAGAUGGACCCGCGCCGCAUUAGCUAGUUGGUAAGGUAACGGCUUACCAAGGCAACGAUGCAUAGCCGACCUGAGAGGGUGAUCGGCCACACUGGAACUGAGACACGGUCCAGACUCCUACGGGAGGCAGCAGUAGGGAAUCUUCCGCAAUGGGCGAAAGCCUGACGGAGCAACGCCGCGUGAGUGAUGAAGGUCUUCGGAUCGUAAAACUCUGUUAUUAGGGAAGAACAAAUGUGUAAGUAACUAUGCACGUCUUGACGGUACCUAAUCAGAAAGCCACGGCUAACUACGUG